CGGUGACGUCGACCGCCGAACACCGCCCGAACAAGGAGAGGGACCGACUUCGGCGGAAGUCGUGACAUCUGAAAACAAAAAAAGCUAUCAAAACUCUGAAUCGACCCACCUGGUGGUAUCUUUAGUUGGACCUGAUUGGAGCAGGAUAACUGCUUUGACGGUGCCCUGCCCAGUGCGAUUAGGCAUUGUGAAGAAUGGAGGUUUACCUGCUCAGCUGCACUAGUACACUAUAGAGAAGAAUCUGCACAAGAUGGAGAAGCUGCUCAAGAAAGUGGUUCUGAACUGCACCUCAACCGAAAGAUGACCAAACCUGUGAUACAGUUCGGAAAGGAACAUAAUAGUUCAAACAUGUAUUCACUCUGGCUCAAGAUCAAACUUUUGCCUAAAUCAGUGAUGUUGAUUUAAGACAAAAAAAGUUGCAUCAUGUGCCCACAUGUCAUAUUAGGAUUUGUCUCUAUAUCAUCAUCAUGACACUGUCAUAUAUUGGAUAGUGUUGGAGUUUAUUUGGAUAAACGCGUCUGCUAAAUGACAUAUAGUGUGGUAAUAUUUUGGAAUGGCAGUAUUGUGUAUCUGGAUGAGACUCAGUGACCCCGUGUUUUCUUGCUGGACCCAGUUGUCUAUAGAUAAGCCCCGGCUUAUGCAUUGGGUCUUCUGGCCUCCCUGCCUGUGAUUGCUGACAGUGAAUUAGGGCAGGGGGACAUUAACCCCUCCUCUCCUUCACCUGUGGCUCCCCCAUUACCAUGACAAAGUAACACCACUGGGGCCUGGAACCACAUCUUAUAUAACUCCUAUGGGAUCACAUCAAUUAAGAAGCUACAGUCUUUGAUUUUGUCCACUAAGCUGGAUGUUACAGCUGGAAGGGCUGCAUGGUCACUUUAAAAAAGCUGCAGUCCCUCUCCGCAGUCACUAAAUUGAUCACUAACAAUUUGGAGCUGAGCCAUUUGUUCGUGUUCUGCUUCUCAGUAUAGUCAUAUCUGACUAAGAUCAUAACAUGGUGUCAGAAGUGCUUCAACCUUGUUAAAUAUAAGACAGGAGCGAUUAUUUCAUAGAAAAAAAUGUUCCUUGAGUUUUGUUGGAGUUUAGAGUGCCCGAAAAGUAGCAAACAGCUAAGUACAAGCGGAGCCGUUGCUAUGGAGACUCAGACUCAGAGCCGCUAAGAGCAAAGCGCACGCAGAGCGAGUGACAGACAUCAAGGAGCAGCUAAUGGAUUUACUAAUGGAGGAAGUUAUUUCUGAUUUCGGGUUUUGGGCAGGGCCGGGCCUUAAAUUUGGCAAAAGCAAAUGGGCCUGGGUAGGGUAGUGUCUGAACGUCAUGGGCCUGUGUAGGGUAGUCUCUGAACGUCAUGGGCAUGGGUAGGGCUCAGGCUUAAAAUGCAUGCCUGCGCAGGGCUUUACUACCUGGAUCUGCUGCUCAUUGAGCUAGAGUUCUCCAGGUGAGAAGACAUCAACAAAAUCUGUUUGAACUUUUUUAAACCCCUUAAAGAAAAUAUGAAAGAACUGCUGCGCUGAGUUUCCACUAGUGUUCUUCCAAAUGAUAGUCUUUUACCUAAAUCACACCUGUCAUUUCAGUGGUAUUGACGCUGUCGUCUAGGGAUAUAGGGCCUAACCCAGUAACUACAGUGUGACUGUCUGUUACAUCCCCACCUGCUUCAGCUGAUGACAGUGGGCAUGUCCAGUGACCUGCUAAGGGUCCGCCUGUUGUUUGAGAGGAUCUACGUUAGCUCCCUGCACAACUUACUGCACCAGAGGGUAAUCCCCACCAGUCACACAGGCGCACAUACAUACACACUUUCAACAUUUAUCUGUGUUUUAUACUUAAAUAAUUGGAUAAAUGAAAUGCAUGCUUAAUUGUGCUCCUCCACACCACCGUGCUGAGUUCCCAGUGGUGAGUGCUGAGACCAUGCUAUUGGUGGUGCUGCAAGUGUGUGAGGCUCUGCUCUACCUGCAUGGCCGGGCCCUGGUGCUGCGAGCUCUCUCCCGAUACAACGUCCUCCUCACACACCCCGGCAUGGCCAAACCUUCCGGCCUCCACUUCAUGGUGCCAAGGUAGGGAGAAGGAACAAACAAAACACAUGCUGCCCAAAACUUGCUCUAGUAGGUAUUUCCUACUCUUUUUCCCCUCUACUUUGUUUUUCAGUUAUAGUCCUUGCACCUGCAAUGAAAUACUAAAACAUAACAUAAACAUGUACAGUUGCGGUCAAAUAUAUUGGCACCCUUGCACAAUUCACUAUUUCGUCUAAAAUAAGUUGAAAUUGAAAAAAAAACUGUUGGA